GACGAACGCUGGCGGCGUGCCUAAUACAUGCAAGUCGAACGAAGCUUUUUUAACUGGUGCUUGCACCGACUUAAACAACUGAGUGGCGAACGGGUGUGUAACACGUGGGUAACCUGCCCCAAAGCGGGGGAUAACAUUUGGAAACAGAUGCUAAUACCGCAUAACCACAGAAACCACAUGGUUUCUGUGUCAAAGAUGGUUUCGGCUAUCACUUUGGGAUGGACCCGCGGCGUAUUAGCUAGUUGGUAAGGUAAUGGCUUACCAAGGCAAUGAUACGUAGCCGAAGUGAAGGGUAGAUCGGCCACAUUGGGACUGAGACACGGCCCAAACUCCUACGGGAGGCAGCAGUAGGGAAUCUUCCACAAUGGACGAAAGUCUGAUGGAGCAACGCCGCGUGAGUGAAGAAGGUUUUCGGAUCGUAAAACUCUGUUGUCAGAGAAGAACGUGUGCGAGAGUAACUGUUCGUGCAGUGACGGUAUCUGGCCAGAAAGCCACGGCUAACUACGUGCCAGCAGCCGCGGUAA
rnacentral:rRNA from 1 species